rnacentral:rRNA from 1 species
AUUGAACGCUGGCGGCAGGCCUAACACAUGCAAGUCGAGCGAGCGGCGGACGGGUGAGAAAUGUCUGGGAAACUGCCUGUUGGAGAGGGGUAACUACUGUAAACGGUAGCUAAUACCGCAUACCCUCUGAUGUGCCCCGAUGGGAUUAGCUAGUGGGUGGGGUAAUGGCUCACCUAGGCGACGAUCCCUAGCUGGUCUGAGAGGAUGACCAGCCACACUGGAACUGAGACACGGUCCAGACUCCUACGGGAGGCAGCAGUGGGGAAUAUUGUACAAUGGGCGCAAGCCUGAUGCAGCCAUGCCGCGUGUGUGAAGAAGGCCUUCGGGUUGUAAAGCACUUUCAGCGGGGAGGCGUUACCCGCAGAAGAAGCACCGGCUAACUCCGUGCCAGCAGCCGCGGUAAUAC